AGCUCCAAUAGCGUAUAUUAAAGUUGUUGCGGUUAAAAAGCUCGUAGUUGGGUUUCUGUUGAGGGCAGCCGGUCCGCUCUACGAGCGUGUAUCUAAUUUGACCUCGGCAUCCUCUCGAAAUACGCUACUGUGCUUGAUUGCAUGGUGUGGACUUCGGGACUUUUACUUUGAGGUAGUUAAAGUUUUCACGGCAGGCUAUCGCCUUGAAUAUAUUAGCAAGGGAUAAUAAUAUAAGAUAUGUUGCCUAUUUUGUUGGUUUCUAAGUGUUAGAUAAUGAUCAAUAAAGACAAUUGGGGGCAUUUGUCUUACGACGUCAGAGGUAGAAUUCUUGGAUUGUCGUACGACAAGCUGCUGCGAAAGCAUUUGCCAAGGAUGUUU
rnacentral:rRNA from 1 species